AAUGAACGUUGGCGGCGUGGAUUAGGCGUGCAAGUCGCGCGACAAGGAACCUUCGGGUUCUGGAGGAGCGGCAAACGGGGUAGUAAGGCAUCGGAACGUACCCUCUUGUUGGGAAUAGCCGCGGGAAACUGCGAGUAAUGCCCAAUAAUCCCUACGGGGCAAAGGUCCGCCGCAGGAGGAGCGGCCGAUGUGAUACCAGCUAGUUGGUGAGGUAAUGGCUCACCAAGGCUUAGACGUCUAGGGGGUGUGAGAGCAUGGCCCCCACCACUGGGACGUGAGAUACUGCCACGACACCUACCGGGU
rnacentral:rRNA from 1 species